GCUUGAAUUGUAAACAAUUGGAAUAAAGGUCUAAGGUAAUGGUUUCCCCCAUUGUUGAUUUCAUUAGUUGCAUGUUUCUUAUAGCUUUAACUUAGUUGCCUCUAUCAAUCAUGAACUCUCCAGCUAUCAUAAAUUUCUUCUCAAGCAAUUAUGAUAAUUUACUAGAUGCACUCUCUCAAGCUACGCCAGCUAGAUUCACAUUUUAGUUUACUUAUAUCGCACCCGAGGUAUCGUUAUCUCUAAUCCAACCUCUAAACCCUCGGUUAUGACUCUCGCCUAUACUCAGGGAGUGAUGUUGUUCAAACAACUACAUAAUUAUGUACUCUUUCUUAAGCAGAUACAUAAUAAAUAGGAAUGGCUAAUUAAGGAUCCUUUCAAUUAUCCAAAAUCAAAACGUAGUUGAACAAAUAGUGAUUAACAACCAACUCAAAACUAUAUUAAUAUAACAGCCAAUUCAUCCCCAACGGGUUUCACCAAAAACCUUAGAUAACAAAUUUAGCUAUUCAUAAUAGUAUGUUAAACUACAACACUAAAAGUCAUAACAACCAAUAAAAAAUAUGAAGAGGAAGGAAAAACGCGUUGAAUAAUUCCCUGCCUUGCUCUUAUUGUGUUCUUGACUCCUUAGGUCGAAUCCUCCAUCUCCUUAGCCUCGUUAGGUCUAAUUUUAUGUCAAAAAUGUGUCCAACACUCAAAAAUACUAUUUUUUUCAUGAAUAUAUACCAAGUAGGGUCGGCCCCAAACAAUUAUACCUUCUCCUACGCAAAAAAGGGCAAUAUUUCACAUCUGGACUAUCACAGUCGCAUCGUGGACCGCGGUGACGACCGCGAAAGGCAUUGCCUCAAAUCGCGGUGAUUAUCGCGGUGAACUUUCUACCACAUUUUUUGUCCUGUUCUGUUUGAUAUUUAGGAAAUUAUAAAACAGGAAAGUUGUAGCCCUUUGAGUUAUAUUUCCAACCAUAUAUUGUGGAGCCCAAAUGGGUAUCUGAGAAAAAACGUAUGUGCAUUUUACUAGAUAGUACACAAUAUGCCUACUCGAGUCUUGGUUUUGUUGUUGUAUCAUCCAUUGAUCCCCAAAUACGAUCCCGACUUAAUUACUUGGGCUUUUACUCAGACUUCAAAUUUUCAAAUCACUUGAAUUCAUUCAAUAAUAUCUAUAUAGCUCAAAAUCCCUCCUAAAAGGCAUACAACACACCGUUAGUGCAAAAUACUAGCGAUUAAAGCGCAAACUCAACUAAAGUGCUGUAAAUUAGACUGUAAUAACCGACUAAUAUACAUAAUUAUAGCCGAUCAUCAAAACCUACACUUAAACCAUUGCUCAUUCUCGAGCAAUCAAACUACACUUAUUUUUUUAUCGACACGGCCUUUUUUUAGCAAUUCUCCUAACUCAUCACACCAAGAGUAUUUAAAAUAGACUAAGCACAAAAGCUUAACAUCUUCACCUUAAGAUUUGACACACAAGUAUCACGCAUUAUUCACAACUCACCCACUUACUCUAAUAUAGAAGUCACUGACAUUACCUUUCCUUCAUGAAUCAAGUUCCCUCACACAACAAAAGAGAGUAGUUCCACACAAUAAAACUUAAGAACACUUAGAAACUCAAGAUAGAAAGAAUUCACUCACUCUCAGAAAUGACAUUGAUAUGCCACAAAAGAUGCACCAUAAGCUUGCCCGUAGUGUACUACUCCACUAAUCGAGCUCAUUCAAAUCUUGGAUCAAUUAAGACUUUAUUUGGUUAUAAUGUAGGCUACGAGACGGGUAGGAUAGAUUUAGAUAUAAGAGUGACUACACCUCCCUAAGCACUUUAAUACAUAUACUUUAACAUUCAAANNNNNNNNNNNNNNNNNNNNNNNNNNNNNNNNNNNNNNNNNNNNNNNNNNNNNNNNNNNNNNNNNNNNNNNNNNNNNNNNNNNNNNNNNNNNNNNNNNACUUUAACAUUCAAACCUCAUACUUAUGUCAAACCAAACUCCACCUUCACAUCAAUGUAUAUUACCCCAUACUUCUUUAAGCACACUUACAUCAAGAGAUACUACUUAUCAAGGAAUUACUUCUCACAACAAUCCAGCUAUUUCUUUCAAUUCAAGUGGCUUUUACUUUUUUAAAACAGUGUACCUUUCUCCUUAUUUAAUUAGUUCCACUCCAAAUCCAAACCAACCAUCCCACACUUUAACUUUUACAAAGUUCAUAAACAAUUCAAGUGCUCAUGAGAGGUUACAAUGGUUCAAAUAGUUGGUUAAUUCUAACAAAUGGGUAAAUCUUGUAAUGUGGUUGCCAAAGAAACAAGAUUAAAAGGAGUUAACUACGAUAUAUAACAAUUAGGUGGGUAAAAUACACAUAUCUGGAUCAACAAAGAAAUGCCUAUAUCACUUCCAAGACUGAACAAAACUACUAUUUUGCUUUGCAAACACAUAGGGCAUGUUCUAGACAUCAAAUGAAAUACACAGAAUACAAUAAACCUCACACAUGCAUGGAACAUGACUCACUCAAGAUUGGAUCAUCAAGACACUCUAGUCAAAGAAGUUAAGCAAUUUUAAGAAAAAACAAUUUUAGGUACUUAUACAAGAGUCAAAAUUGAGCGUAGGCGUCACAACCAAAGUAUUCACUAUUCUCAAGGCAUAACAAAGUCAAGAGAUAUUGCUUCACAUAAAAUACAACAUAAUGCCUCCUACUCCUAAUAAAAACAUUAACUACACCCGGUUCAAACAAAACCCUUGGAAAAGAACCGUGGUUUAAAGAAAACCCAAAGGUAAAUUGCUACACUACUGUCGACGCCCCCUUUUUCUAAAGAGCGAAAUCGGGUUUACGAUAUUAUGGACAAAAAAACUCUUAUUCUCUUUUCAGGUUAUGGAAUCUGAGAGUCGCCACCUAACGAUUAUAGUACAUUAGGAAACUUUAAAGAAAAGAAAGAUGAUUUUUUGAAAGAAAAACCAUAGUUCGGGUAAGGGCUUGAGAUUAUCUUGAGGGGAAGGUGUUACGCACCCCUCAAGAUCCACUAGUGUGGUUCCCUACUGUAUUUAGUUGUGACUUUAAGAAGAGUAGAAGUAAACAAACGAUGUUUGCACAUAGGGAAUACAAAUAAGUUGAAUGUUUUGAAAGAAAAGAGAGAAAGAAUACAUAAGUGGUUUUGGAAAGAAAAAUAUUAAUUGAAGAAAACAUUAAUUUUUAAGAAAACAUCACUUCAUAUAAAUAAAGAAAAGGGGUCCUAGGUUAAAUACAAUAUGGAUCACAUCGGUAUAAAUCCCAGCAAUCAUUCUCGCAUGAGAUAUUAGCGCACCAGUCAUUAUAUCCAUAUUCUAUUCUUCCCACCCCGUUAAGGUAUUAAAUGCGAUUAGUCUUGUUUACUUAUUGCAUGCUAAUACCCGUCCCAACCUAUCUGUUCUGUGGUUUUAGGACUUCUAAUCCAAAAGGGAGGAGGAAAGGAAGUAUACACAUAUAUGAAGUUUCAAAUGGAUAAAAUACUAGGGCGUCAAUCAAAACAAAUAGCAAAUGAAUAGGGAAUGAGAUAAACACACAAAAGGCUCAUAUAAACCCCAUAAAUCACAUAGCAACUAGUUUAGCAUGUCUUAUAUAUACUGAUUUGGUCUUUAAAAAUUAAACAGGGGACAUCAACACAGAGAGUUGGAUAAAAAGUCUACAUUAGGCAACCCGAAUCCAAUUGUCAGAAGUUGAGGUAUUUUAAACAAGUUACAGAUUAAGAACCUAAUGCAGAAGAGUUUAAGACAGAAGCUUGAAAAUUGCAGGAAUUCAGAGAUGACUUUGAUAUUGACAGAAUUGUUUAACUAAAAAUAUAGCAGAAGUGCAAAGCAGUGUUUUCGAAAAUGAGAUGUUUUUUAAAAGGGAAACACACCAUUAAAGAUUGUUUUGAUUAAGAGACAGGAGAAUCGUAAAAGAUUUUAAAGAGUGCAGAUACUUUAAAAGAUAGGGUUGAAACUCUGUUUCAAAAGACAUCUUUAAAAAGUGGAGGAGAAAUUUCGGCAAAAAGUUUAAAGACGUUACUUGGAAGAAAAAUACAAGUUUGAAAGGAAUUAAAAGCAGUUUAUAAGAGUUUUGAAAACGGACAGAUUUGGACGAACUCUACUGAAAAUUCUGAAACCAGUUGGUAAAUUAUUAUCAAUUAAACUCAUUAGACGGGCUUGAAUUCCUUUAGGCAUGAUUUCUACGUCCUGAUUUUUUAAAGGAUCAUUACUUUUACUAAACCGGUAAAAAAAUGAGUAUUAACCUAUAGUUUGCCUAGAGUUUUGGCAUUUCCUAUAGGCAUGAUUUCUAUAUGCAACAAGUUAUUUUGGUUAUUAAAUCCUAUAGGUAGGAUGUCUACUGAUUUGUAGCGUGGUUGAACAUUAAAUCCUAUAGACAUGACAUCUAAAUGAUUGAAAAGAAUGCAAAAGCCUAUAGACAUGAUCUCUAAGUGAUUUAAGGCGUUGAACCUAUAGGCAUGAUAUCUGCAUAAUUAAAUAACAAUAUUGGUCCUAUGGGCAUCGUAUCUACCCUUUAGCAAUAAAGUAAACCCCUCCCACAUCCUUUACUAAUAUUUUCCCGAGUUCUUUUUACAAGGUUAUUACAAAAUCAGAAGAAAGAAGGUAAAAAAUACAUCACAUCCUACAACUAGAUCCAAACUGCCUAAUGCAAUCUUUAACAUCCAAUAGCAUGUGUUUCACCAAAUCCGGAUUCCAGAUUCCAAGGACUUCUUUUACUCAGAGUGUUUCAAAGUUCCAAUGAGCCUCUAGGACUCCAGACAAUGCUUACACUCUGAAUAAUAAAUAUUGUAACAGAAUAGUGCAAGUGUGGAAUUACCAGCCCUCAAGCAUCCAAGUUCAGAGGAAACUCCAGGGUCUCAAAGCAUGGCUUACCAACGGGGGGUAUAACUUAGGAACUAGGAAUGAGUGCAAAGUGAGGGAGGAACCAUAGCAGAUGGUGGUCAUACCCAGCCAUGCCAUAGGCUGGCACACCCCUUACCCCCUACUUAGGUUAAACAAAUAGAAGCAGACUCCAGAGAGUCAAACUUAGGGUCUGAGUGGUGAUUAGGACACUAGCAGACCCAAGUUAAAGCUCAACACAUAAAGGGGAGAAGUAAUGGGAAAGCAUUUGAGUAGAGACUCAGGAGAGUUUGAUUCUGGAUCAUGGACAACAAUAUAAGAUCCUGCCAUGGUUCAGAAUAGUACUAGCAUGCAAAAGGAAACAAAGGGAAGGGAUUUGCGUGUAAACAAAUUAAAUAGAUAUAGGAGAGCAUAGCAGACUUAAGGUACAAAACAAAAAAGAAAGGGAAUAACAUACUUGAAUGCAGUUGCAUAGUGCAAGAAGCAUAAAUAAACACAUAGUGAAAGAGGUGUAGAAGAGGGGAAGUAAACACAUAAUAGGAGGGUGUUAUUUACCUAGGAAAAACAUACCAGUUGCAAUUCUAGUAUAGCAGAGAAACAACAGCAAGUAGACAGCCAGAAAAUAUUAACAGGAGCAACUCAAACUUCAAUGAGCACUUGGGAGUUCAGAGGAACUCCAGAAUAUUCAUACAUUAGGAGAGAAAGGAGCAGAAUGCUCAGUAGUAGAGUAUAGAAAGUAGUAGUAGAGGGCAGUAGUACAGAAUAGUAGUAAAGAAGGUAAUAGUAGAGAAGGUAACAGUAGAGCAAGUAGUGACAGAUUUCAAAGGCAGCAUCGUUUGUGUCUCGAGUGUGUAUGUUGUGUCAAAGGAGAAGCAUGUAGUUAUACUUGAAGUCAGGCAAGUAGGCAAGGAAAGAAAAUAGUCCAGUAUCAAUUAGGAUCAAUCAAUUAACAGAGGUUCCUUUAAUUAAGGAAUCCCAAUUUGAUCAGUAAAGGACAAGAGAUUUUUAAGGAAAGGGGAUCAAAUAAAUCAUACUGUGCAUAGCAUACAAAUAAGGGUAAAUACAUGUGGAUCUUAAUUAAGAAAAGGGAAUUUGAAAAACAUGGUUAAAUAAAUAAGGUAAAGUGUAAAUCAAUUAGAACAAUAGUAAUUCAGGGAAUCAAUGAAUAGGCCAGACUAUAGGGAAUCAAGAGGCUCAAAAUUAAACAAGGAAAGAAUCAAUCGAAUUCACACAAAGCAGUCUGAAAUCAAACCCCAUAUCAAAGUUUAUUCUGAGAAGGAAAGAUCUAACUAUAAAGGGGCAUGAAUUUUAAACAUGCGAGGCCGAGUUCAAACAAUAGUGAAGCAUCAUGUAACCAAAGGCCAACGAGUAAAGGAAAGUAUCAGACAACAUGCUAGAGGUCAAACAAAAGGUCUUGAAAAGCUUAGCAAGAGUUAGAAUUCCAUGAAAAAACAAAGGUAAGUUCAGGAAUUAGGGUUUUGAAAUUCAAAUCAGUUCAGAGAUGAGAAGCAAGCAAGUAACAUACAAAUGGUCUGAAAACCCCCAAAUUCUAGGGUUUCCGCCAUUAAUCGAAUGUAAAAGACGAAAGAAGAUAAAUAAGGCAAAAGUGACAACGAAAUAGGCUCAAAUGACCCAAAGGAACUUAGAACCUCAAACAUUUCAAAAAAAAUGUAAUGAAAGAAAAAUACAUUAAGGAAAUCAUAAAGAGACAGUAGAAGAAAUUAUAGUAGAAGAAAAUACCUAGGAAUCACAGCAGAAACACAUAGCAAUCACAAUAGGGAAAAUAUAGUAUGAAUAACACAUAAAAAUCACAGUAGAACAAGCAAAAUCAAGAAAACCCUGAGUCGGAGAAGACGAAUAGUUUUGAAAGCGAAAUUUGGAAAGAGGCUAAGAAAUUGUUUGAAAACCUUAAAAAUAACUCGGAGCAGUUAUAGAUCUAAGAAAACAAGGGAAGAAAAACCUCGAACAAGCUUAUUUUUAGGGUUUCUCAAAAACCCUAGAAACGAGAAGGCCUGGAAAGAUCCGGUCUUCGAACAAGUCUGGGCUAUGGCUAAGCCUUAUCAAUGCUCGAACAAGCCGGAACGAAGCCGGAGAAGCCAAAAGAACACAAAUCGGUGAAGGACCUGAACAAGUCUGUUGAAGAUCGACCCUAAAAAACCUUGAAUAAUUAUGGUUUAGGGUGAAUGGAAGAGGGUACAGGCUGUCCAUGGCCUGAGAAGCCAUGGACGCCGGUGGGUUUGGACGUAAAAGACGGUAGGCAGCUAGGGUUUCGAAUGGUGUUAGAGAAAGUUCUGAGAGAUGAGAGAAUUUGGGAAGGGCUGGUUUUUGGAUAAUGAAUUAGGGUUAGGGGUUGGGUGGAAUUAAAAAGGAAAGAAGAGGGGGUGGCCGUUGAUCAAAUGAUCAACGACCUAGAUUGAACUGGGCGGCCAGGCGGGUUUAAUGAAUUGGGUUUGGGGCGAGUUGAAUUUAAAUGGUGACGUCUAAUUGGGGGAUUGAAAUUGGGGUUAAUUAAGGGGCAAUUGGGCUAGAAUUGAAAUAGAAAGGGGCCAGCUCUUAUAUAACCAUUUUCUCCCUUUUUAAUUAAUUAAAAUAGUUAAACAUAAUUUAAAAGCACUAAAAUAGUUAAUAAUAUAUAAACAAUAAUUUAAAAAUAUUAGGAAUAAUUUUAUAAUUAUAAAAUACUAUUAAUUACAAAAUAGGCUACAAUUGCAAUUGUAUACAAUUUAGCUUUAGAGAUGCCAAAUAAAUUUGUAAAAAUAUGAAAAAAUCAUAUUAAUUAUAUUUUGUUAUGAAUAUGGGAUAAAAUAAAUUAUUCACCUACAAAAUGAUAAUUUUGGGAAUAAUUUUAGAUUUUUUAGUGUUAACAUAGACAAUAAAUUGAUUCUAAAACCCUUACAAAUUGAGGGAAAAUACCAAACUUUUGGGCAUGCUUAUAUAUGUAUACGCAUGCUAUUUUUGAAAGUAUUUGAGUAUAUAAAAAAAUAUAUAUAUGGAAAAAUUGGGUAUCAACAGUUGUCCCUUUUUACCCAAGGAGGAUGAAAGAGUUGUCGGGUAAAGAUAAGAUGGCCAAUUUUGACCGAAAACGGCGAUUGUAGAAGAAAUUGACCGUGAUGUGCCUACAUAUCCCUAGUCUUACAGGAAUCGGGCCAUAUAUAGUUCAGGAACCACUGACGGAAUGUAUGGACGGAGAUUCGAAAAGAUGGAUGCGAUGGUCUAGUUUGAGAAAGGUUUUGAAGUCGAACAGGUUGCAGAGAGCCGAGCGGGAUCGCUCCUGCUGAGAUGGCCAUUUACUUUCCGGUGUACCUGCAGAUGAGAAAUGGGGCAUCUUUUGUGCAUAAUUUAAACAUGAUGCAAGUUCCCGUUGGACCAUGAACGUUGCCUUUGGACGGUUAGGAUGACGUCCUCAGACUGUGAUGUCCUGGGCAAUGAAGAGCAUAAAAAAUAAAGAUUCGCAUGCCAUGAAAUGGUGUUCUCGGGCUAUGCAGAUGGUGCCUCCAAACUAUGACGCCUUUGAAUAAGUUGGCGAUUUUUUAGCCUAUGAGAAGGUGGCAAUCUUUCAGCCGAAUGAAUGCAAAGGGUGGUGAUAUUUCAGCCAAAGUGAUAAUUUAAAUUCAAAUGGUGCUAUUUCAGCUGAAGCGAGAAUUUAGAUGCAGGUGGCGAUAUUUUUGCCCAAGAAAGAAUUUAAAUGCAGGUGGUGAUAUUUCUGCCGUGCAGGUUGGAGACAAUGCUUAGUCUUGGAAGUCAGAUAAGUAGCCUUAUGCAGGAUGGAGGUAGAGCUUAACCUCGGAAGGCAGAUAGAUAGCCUNNNNNNNNNNNNNNNNNNNNNNNNNNNNNNNNNNNNNNNNNNNNNNNNNNNNNNNNNNNNNNNNNNNNNNNNNNNNNNNAGAUAGAUAGCCUUAUGCAAAAUGCAGAUGGAGAUAGUGCUUAGUCUCGAAAGGCAGAUAAGUAGCCUUAUGCAGGAUGAAGGUAGAGCUUAACCUCGGACGACAGAAAAUAGCCUUAUGCAAAAUGCAAAUGGAGAUAGAGCUUAGUCUUGAAAGGCAAAUAAGUAGCCUUAUGCAAGAUGGAGGUAGAGCUUUACCUCGGAAGGCAGAUAGAUAGCAUUAUGCAAAAUGCAGAUGGAGACAGUGCUUAGUCACGAAAGGUAGAUACGUAGCCCUAUGCAGGAUGGAGGUAGAGCUUAACCUCGGAAGGAAGAAGAGUAGCCUUAUGCAAAAUGCAGGAAAUGUAAAGAGUGAAUAGUAGUGAGAUUUUCUUAGACUUGAUGACAGAAUAUCGAUUCCAUAGCAAAGUUUCAACGAGUUUUAAAGAUUUUUCGGCGAUCUGAGUUUCAAUAUGAAUAUUCUAUUGUCUUUAGGACGAGGGGAAAUGGUUAAGGAUUUACCCGAUGCGAGAUAUUGUAUUAUUCAAGGAAUUGUAGAUGCUGGCGGAGUAAAGAAUCAUCAACAAGGGCGUUCUAGUGCGUUACAGAUUUUUACUCAAGACUUGUAUCAUUUGAUCAUGCCAUGUGAAUCGCUAGAAACAUGUAAAGUGGAGUCGGCGAUCAGUAAACACUUUGAACUCUAGUGACGGUUAUGAAAGUUGAGAGAGAAGAAAUCGAUUUUGAAUGUGAAGAGGGGGUAGCCGAUCGGCGACCGUAUUUUAAACCUAGUUUUGGCUUUUUAAGUUUUUCCCAACUUUUCCUAUUUACAAUUUUGCCCCCAACCCCUUCUUUAUACCCUUAAUAAUCUGAUGUUGCAUUAAUUAAAAGAAGUGUCCUUUAUCCUUCACUCAUGUUUUAUUUUUAUUCUCAGCUCUUUUUCAUGCAGUGUUGAUUCCAUCAAAUCUUAUGUAACAUUAACACUACCUCGGCAAAAUUUAAAUUUGCUAAACCCCAAAUUAAUUUUCAAACUUUACUUAAGUGGGCAAUAAAUCCUAUAGUUACUGAGAAGAAAGCUCGGAAUAAAAGAACUUUUAAUAGAGGUGAGUAACCAUAGCCUUGAGAUUUUUCUCAUCCAAAUAAAAAGAACCCAAAAACUUUUCUCAAUACUCCAUUGCUAUAAUUCAUGUACAAGAUUGUGUCUUUAUGUUUUUAUUCAACAAAAUCAAAUUUGACCCACUUGAUUUCCCCAUUUGUCUAACAAAUUUGUAAACUAGGAUUAUGAAAAUUGGGAAAGAAAAGGAAGAACUCCAUUUGUUUGUAGAGAAAUUUGUUCAUUCUGAAAUAAGGGAACGAUGAUUAGGGUUAUGCUAAUAGUGUACUAAUUUCUUAAAUAUAGUGGACUUAGUGCUCCAUGUGAAAGAAUAUAGGGAAAUAAUCAACUAUGUCCAUUUAGAAGUAGCUUAUUAUAAAAAUUUGCCAAUUGAUAAAAUAUUAUUAAUAUUAGCCAAAAUGGCCAAUUAGCUAUUUGUAGCAAAAAAAUUAUCAAAUUUUUACUUUCUUUUGAGUAGGUAUUAUUAGAAUAGAUUGGGUGUAUCUUAAAGAGCUUGAAUCUAAGUUUUGGGAUGAUUUGGUGAAGUUUUGAGGUGGUUUGAAUUGAAAAUUCGAAGUAAAAAUUGAAUAUGAAAAAAAUGAUACGUGUAUCACACUGUGUAUCACAUAUGUAUCAUAUUUAUAUGGAUUGUGUAUCACAUCUAUAUCCAUGUAUAUCUGUGUGUGAGAUACAUGUUUGAUACAUGUGUUACCGAAGAAUUUUUUGACAUCGAUUUAAUUAUGAAUUUUGGUACAAAACCAAUCCAAAUAACCUCCAACCUUCCUCAAAUGUUGACUUAUAUAUAUGUUUUCAAUAAUUUCGACUAUACCCAUUAAAAAAAUUUCUUGUUUGUUUCGAUUUUUGAAAUAUUGGCUAGAGGUUGGUAAAUUGAAACUUAUAUGAGACAUUUCUGUAAGUUUUCCAAGAAUAUAUAUAGUUUGGAGAGGGUAUUUGGAUGGACUUAAAAGCUGGUCAAACUAGUUUUUAAACACCUUUUAUUUUAUGGUGUUUAGCAAAAAAACAUGCUUAAAAAAGUUAAAAUAUGCUUAAGAAAAGCCAAAAGCAACACGUUAGCUGACCCAACUUUUUCGGUUUUGGCUUAAAAGCCAUUUUAGUUUGACCAAUAAAAUUAUUCUUUUGUCCAUUAUAAAUUUUUAUAAUACCAAAAUUACCUCAAUCCAAGAAACCCUAAAACAUCUACUUCUCCUAUUUCCUUCACUGCUGAAGACAAUCGUUCCUCUUCUUUCCUCCUCCUCUCAGUUUUGUCUUCAUUUCCUGCACUUUCCUCAAGCAUCAUACCCCUUUCUGUACUUUUUAGACGAAGUUGACUUUAUAGUUAUAUUUUUGGAGGGCUUCUUCUUUCUUUUCUUUGGUAUUGUUUAUUACUAAUGAUUUGAUCCAUUUGCGUUGCUUUCUGCCAAUUCUACCUGACUACAGAGAAAACGAUGGUGCUCUAGUAGGAAUUACUGAGUAUUCCAAACUAAACGGAAAAUGAAUUGAAAUUAAAUUAAAAUAUAAAUUAGUUUUCAUUUAUACUAAUUCAUAAUUAAAUAUAUUGUACUAAUCAUGUCCUUUAUAAUGAUGACAUCUCUAAGGAUAUUUUUAUCUUUUUAAUAGAAAAAAAUGCUUACAAGCACUUAUUUACUAAACACUUCAAUAACUUUUUUUUAAGUUUCAACACUUUUAUCCAAAUAGGUAAUUGCUUAUUUAUAAAACAAGCUCCAGCACAAGCCAAUCCAAACGGGCUCAGAGUCUGAUGACAAACAUAAUGUAUGAUUAUUGGCUUUUUCUAUACAGAGAAGGUUCAAAAAUAACCCUUAACUAUUGGAAAGAUCUAAAGUUAUCCUUCAUUCACUUAUUGGGCUAAAAAUACACCUCUUUCCAUCUUUUUGGUUCAUUUAAACCCUUUGAUCAUUAGAUCAAUGCUGAAUUUUAAAAAUAGUUAUUUAAAUUCCACGUGACAACUUCUUAUUGACCGAAAUUAAAACAUCUAACCUAUUAAAAAGAUCCACACAUAUCUACCCGUUUUUCGGACUAACCCGCCCCAACACUUACCUGACCCGAAUAAAAAGUUCAAAAUAAAAAAAGACGCCCCGCGUGACAACAUUAACAGUUUGUUCUUCCUAACGAUGCAGUGCCUAGUAAAGAGCUUAUAUGAGUAAGUUCCCAAGUAGGUGCUUUCGGAUAUUCUGCAUAUCCAAGCAUUGAGGAACUGGAUCUUAACCUUUAUGGAACACUAGGAGAAAAUAUCAAUCUCUUUGGAGCUCACUUGAUGUAGCGACGAGUUGGUAGUGAUAUACUUUGUAAAUAUUGGAAUCAUAUAACUUUCUAUGUCAUGUUUUUGGUAGAUUUUGGGACCUCUUAUUUUUUUAGUUGUAAAACUUGACCUGUUUACCCCUUGGCUUUUCUGGCGAUACGAACGAGGCGGGCUAAGAUUCCAUUCGAAGUAACGAAUGCUCCUGCUAUAAUUCAAGGGCCCAUCAGUAGAAAUGUCUCGAGGAGUAGUUAAACGGGCAGGAGAUAAUAACAGAAUAAUUGGGUGCACUGGUGGACCUUAUACUUAGUACCCGGGCUAGCGCCCUCUCUCUCUAGCAGAAUGCUAAGAACUGCGCUUAGCCCCGCUCAUGAAACGGCUCUGCUGCAGUACCCGAAGCACUGGAGUGAUCCAGUAGCCGGGAAGGGGCCUAGAAGUGCCUACUACUACACCACACUACACUUGGCUCUACACAUUUACAGAGCUAACCCCUGUCCAGUGCUUGGCAGAGCUAAGGGGGCUUCAAUCCUUACUCUUUAUCCCCAUCUUCGCCCAGGCUAACGGGGCCUUACUUAUUCAGGGGGGAGCCUCGAAAAGCACUGUUGAGAUCUCACUUAAAGGCAUUCCUUUUUUUUUUCAUUUUACGGGAAAACAACAAGGAAAGGGGCUAAGAUCCUUCGGAAGGAGGGCUUUGGGCAAAGAGCGGCCGACGAACCUUAAUCCUCUUUGUUCCUUCGACAUCUUCUACCCCUGACUCGGGCAUCCCUUUCAGGUGCAGUUGACGUACAAUUUAGGUAAUUUUUAAGGACUAAACGGUCGAAUUAGUGUUUGAAACAGGAUAGUUUGAAAAGCAGGUAGAUAUGGGUGGAUCUUUCUGUGUUAGAUGUUUUUUUUUCCUGCCAAUAAAAAGUUGCCACGUGAAAUUUAAAUAAUUAUUAUUUUUAAUUCAACAUGGAAGUUAUUUUUAGCCUAAUAGAUGGAGAAGGGUAUUUUUAAACCUUUUUCAAUAGUUAAGGGACAUUCUUGACCCUUCUCUGUUUUCUAUAUUAAUGUCACAGAUCAAAAAGCAAGCAAUAUGACCCGAGAGGAGUAUAGCAAAAAAUGGUAAUUGUUCAAUUUCAUUUGAAUUCGUAUACAUUCAAGAACAUCUUCGAAUAAAAAGCAAUGCUUGAACAGUUCCAAACCCGUGCAAAGAUACAGUUACAAAGUGGAAAUUACAGAACUGGCUUCUUCAACAACCCCCAGUACCUAUCCUCCUAUCAUGCAAUUACAACCCAUCAUGUAUUAAACAUCAAUAUGAUACAGUUAUAUAAGACAUCUAUGACACAGUUGGAUAUGAAGAUGUUAGGACCCUGUAAAUUUUUCUACCACUGAACUAAGACCUAAAAGUUUCAUCUUCCUUAUCACAUGUUAAACUUACACACACUUAUCUAUCUCCGACUUGAAUUCGCUUCUCUAUGCCUCUGUCUCCUCCCAGAGCGACUCAAAAGGACCCUACCUUCGCGGUGGAGACGACCAGCUAAUGAUAUACCAUUAUCAUGAUUAUCCUCACCACUACUGUCCCUGUCUUCAUCGGAGUAAUUAAAACCACCCCUUUGGUGGUUAUGCUCCAUACCGAUAACACCUCCAUCCAAUGUCUCAUUUAAGUAUCUCUCAUGCCGUCUCAUACUUCUAUUUGACCCACUAUUCCCUGUUGAACCAACAACCUGCAAAAACAGAAGCACAUUCAUCAAAUUGUUAUUGAUUCCCAGUCCAACACCUUCAUUACGAUCCACCACAUCUGCAUCAAAACCCUCCUCAUCCUCUGAAUCAAAACCAUAAUUAUUUCUUUCUAUCACAUAAUCACCAAAUACCACCGCCCCUGGCAUUGAAGAUGUAACAGUGCUGAUAACAUCAUCCCUUUCUCGUCCCCUCUCAAGCCUACUCCAUUUUUGUUCAAGGAGGGGGUCUACUUCACGUGGCCUAGCACAGGGGUGCCCCGCCCUAACAUGUUUUCUCAUCUCCUUGUAACUUCCAUUAAAGGAGCAGUCAGUAUGCAUGCAGCUUCGUUUCUUAGCAUUCAGAUACACUCUGGCAGGUUCAACCACAGUUCGACCUUCACCUGGCCACGGCAAAGCGGACAUGCAAGUUCCGUUACCCCAUGUUUCUCAGAAGAGCCCACAGUUGAAGGAUCAGUUGAACCUUGAAGAGAUUGAGUCUGAUGAGGCAGCGUUAAUUUAGUGUAGGCUUUCUUGUACUGAUCGAGACAGUUUGAAUAGCGGAAGCUAGUUCCACACAUAUAGGGGCGACGUCCUUUGUCAUGAGAAGAACACAGAAGUAGAACAGCAUUGUGGGGAUAUUCCAUGCAUACAGAACAUGUUGCAUCUUCCCAAUCUUUGUUCUCAAAAAUCUUGGUCCUUUGUCAUGAGAGGAACACAGGAGUAGAACAGCAUUGUGGGGAUAUGCCAUGCAUACAGAACAGGUUGCAUCUUCCCAAUCUUUGUUCUCAAAAAUCUUGGAGCAUUUGUUUUGAUGCAUGUGUUCAGAUUGAUUAGCGGAUGGCAAAGGGUAUGGGGUGAGCCUGGAUGGUCGAGAAGCAAACCUGCGUCUUCCUGUGGUUCCUCUGGCCAUUUCCUAAACAAAUCUGCAUGCAGAUUUUAUGUUAGAAAUGAGAACUCUAACAUGCUCGAAGUACAUGAAGAACAUGCAACAUGGGUUGACAUUAAGUGUAUCAUUCCUAUUUUAUAUAGCAAGAGUAACUUUUGUAUUGCCAAUUGAAAUUUCCUAUGCACUAUAAAGGAACUGACAUUUAGCUCGAACAAAAUUUCACUACAUGGUGAGUUCGAGUCUCCCCAAGAGCAAGGUGGGAAGUUCUUGGAGGGAAGGAUGCUGGGGGUUUAUUUGGAAACAACCUCUCUACCCUAGGAUAGGGGUAAGGUCAGUGUACACACUACCCUCCCCAGACCCCACUAAAUGAGAUUAUACUGGGUUAUUGUUGUUGUUGUUGCAUCAUCAACUAAUAAGAAAAUUCAGUAACCUCACAUAAAUGAGCCAUGCAUAGUGCAGAGUCCAGAUAUUAUGAACAAAACAACAACAACAACUACCCACUAUAGUCCCACAAAGUGGGGUCUGGGGAGGGUAAUAUGUAGNNNNNNNNNNNNNNNNNNNNNNNNNNNNNNNNNNNNNNNNNNNNNNNNNNNNNNNNNNNNNNNNNNNNNGACAGGCCUUACCCCUACCCGAAAGGGCAGAGAGGAUGUUUCCAAUCGACCCUCGGCUCAGUGAAGGAAAGGAAAAACAAAAACAGAAACAAAAGAUCAUUAGUAACUUCAGCUGAAAUAGCUUAAAUAAUUAUCUAUACAUAAAAAUCAUAAAUAAAAUAGCCUGCAAAAAUAUAGACAGUAACUACCAUAAAUAACUACCAUAAGUGAGACACAAUCUAUUAGACUAAUCAUCUAUGGAUAGCUCUGCCAAGCCUCACCCAACCCCGGGUGAGGAGUAUGAAAAACUCCAGGAGCCCCUAUCCUACGACCCUGAUACUAGACCUCCAGACUUUCCUAUCAAGGGUCAUGUCCUCGGAAACCCGCACUCUAGCCAUGUCAUGCCUAAUCACCUCUCCCCAAUAAUUCUUAGGCCUCCCUCUACCUCGCCGAACGUCGACAAUCGCCAGCCGCUCACAACUCGUCACUGGGGCAUCAGUACUUCUCCUCCGCACAUGCCCGAACCACCUCAGCCUCGCUUCUCGCAUCUAUCAGCCGCUCACAACUCCAUACAAUCAUAAAAGAGUCCGAUAGGACAACGGGCAAGUGGAUAGACAGAAUCUAAAAUGUCAUCAAGCCAUAAUUAAACUGGAGAGGGUAGAGAGUUACUACAAGAUUUUACACAUCAGGUGAAGCAAAUUAUUACUAUAUUUUUAAAAAUUUCAGACUCCAUCAAGCAUGGCCUAGCACCCAACAAUAGGUAGGUUACCAAGUUAAAAGAAAUUUACUUGAACUUCAUUAAAAAGCACUUUUUAUGGUUAAUUAAAAAGCUCUUUAUUUGAACUUGAUCACAGAAGGACAAAAAUCUUAAACAAGUAAAAAAUUUAUGCACCAAGACAUAAAAUAGAGAACACACUUUGAUUAACCUCAAUCACAAAAGGACAACACAUGAACAUACGAUGUGAAACAAAACAUCAAUAGAAGCACCUGAACAUUAACUAUCCUUUCCCUCCCUGACAUACCAAUCAUCUUUUUUUUCAGGGGACGGGGGUGGUGGGGUUUGGUUGUUGAACAGCUUGGGGAAUAAUAAACUCCACAGUUUCUAGUUCCACCCUCAAAAGUGAAAAGUGAGGUAAUAAAAAAUAAUUCAACCUGGAUAAAUCGAAUAACAUUCAAUAUCAGAUGAGGCAAAAAUGUCCUUUGCCAGCUUACCCAAAAGAUAACAAAAACACCUUCAUAGGUGUCAUUUCCAUAGAAGACACCUACAAAACACCUGCCUCAACAUCCAUCAAAAUGCCGCUAAAUAAGGAAAGAAAUCAGGUAGUAGCUCCUAUGCAACACAAUGUCUUAGUGGGAUGUCCCUUACCCUUAUACAUGAAUAGGCUUCGAGAAUAAAAAAUGGUUCUCCAUACCUGGACUCUGUAACUAUGAUUAUUAUUCUCACAAAGCCCUAUAUAGCUGCCCGUAGCGAAGGGGGGUUAACAUUUCUAAUGCUAUGGUAUCGACUUACAGAAGAACAAUACGAAGGCCUAAUAAAAUGCAUUUCAGCAGGCAUAUCAUAAUGCAACUUGCAAAGAUGAAAUCAGACAGCUAAUAACAAACAAACCAUUACCGGAUUGCAUUACAAAGUCUCAGUUAUGAGCCUGUGAUAUAAUAGUUCAGAAUUAACAGAUAUACAUUUAACUGUACAGUUCCACUCUGGUACAGUCUGAUCUUUAGCUAUCAAAAAAGGAGACACUGACAAUUCCAGAAUAAGUGAAGCCAAUUUCAGCCACAUAAGCUGUUUAACCCAGUUCAGCUCCACAUAUAACUCUAGCACUAUUGCCACCACCCAUUCCACAAACAGACCAUAAAUGGCAUAGUGAUCAAAUCCUGUCCAGUUGAGCUGUCAUGGCGCUGAUCUCACACCCAACAGAUCAAUAACAGAGAAGGAGGAAAAGAAGAAUGUAGUUUAAAGAUCGAUAAAAGCCGAAUCCUGGAACAGUCAACCCAAUGACUUGCAAUUAACUACAAGUGAGACUAAUUGGUGACAAUAUAAUUAUAAGAGAAAAACAGGCCUCCCCACAGAACAAGUUACAGUAAUGAAUUUAGGUAAUUCUGAUUUUUCGACAGAAAAUAUUUGAUAAUUGCAAUGCGAUAAGCAACAAACCAUAACUGAACCUCUAUCUCUAUUCCUCUCGAAGAAAUCNNNNNNNNNNNNNNNNNNNNNNNNNNNNNNNNNNNNNNNNNNNNNNNNNNNNNNNNNNNNNNNNNNNNNNNNNNNNNNNNNNNNNNNNNNNNNNNNNNNNNNNNNNNNNNNNNNNNNNNNNNNNNNNNNNNNNNNNNNNNNNNNNNNNNNNNNNNNNNNNNNNNNNNNNNNNNNNNNNNNNNNNNNNNNNNNNNNNNNNNNNNNNNNNNNNNNNNNNNNNNNNNNNNNNNNNNNNNNNNNNNNNNNNNNNNNNNNNNNNNNNNNNNNNNNNNNNNNNNNNNNNNNNCCCCCCCAAAAAAAAAAAAAUCAACAGCUUAUGGGGAAAAAUUGAAGACAGGUCUUACAACAACAGAUAUGCCAGAAGCAAUACCCAGAAUCAAAUGCAGAACAUUAAAAUCAUCACAUACAGACCCCACCCCGUGGGACUACAUUGGGUAGUUGUAGUUGUUUUUAAAAUAAUCACAUAUUCACAUUUAAUUGGCUGUUAUGCUAAUUCAUUUUUUUUUAUAAAAGAGAGAGGAUGUGUCCACCUUCAGUUUUAAGCAAAUCUGGACUCAAAAUGACAAAUUAUACCAACAAAGAUGUAAAAUUUCAUAGAAGUCAACCUUUCAGAUAACGCAUCCAACACAUAAACAACGUGCCCCAACAAAACAAUCACGCGAGUCAGGGAAGUGAAUAACUUAAAAGCAAUAAGACAAAAUCUAAAGCAGCAAACUUUAGUUAAUAUACCCGCCAAGUACAUCUCAGAUUCACCAUUAGCUUAACUUAUAGUCAUAUCCAUCAAUCGACCAAUAAUUCGCUAAUUGCCUAUUACACAACUCCCAGAUCACCAACAAAAUAAAUAAAAUCAAAACAACACAAAUUGAGAUCGAUUCUAUGAAUCAUCUAUAUCCAUGCCGGUUCAAUUGGACUCCUUUCAUUACAGCAUUUAAUAAUUUGUCUAUUGAGACAAAUCAAAUUGCUAGAAAUUGAUUCGAAAAUAAAAUUACAAAAAUUGAAGGUUUCGUACCGGAUAAAUCAAUUGAAGAUUGGUGAAAAGGGAGAAUGUGUUAGAUAAAAUGAGAGGUAGGGUUUUCAUAUAGAUGAGAUCGAAAGAGCAUGCGUCAUUUCCAGUUAUUAUCAAACAAUUUUUAGAGAGAUAAUGGGGGCGAGGAGAGAGAAGGAGUAUCGGAUUCGUCGAUGCAUUUUCUACGCUACUCAUCUUUUCCUAUCUGGUUUGCGGGCGGGAGAUAGGGAGGAAAGGAAAGGGAAACGACGGUUUCAGGCGCCGGUUUGAGAAGUGGCUGUUACACCAUCUAUUUUUUUUAUUACAAAAAAUGGUAUGAAGUGUGAUGGGAUUUAUCUUUUAAGAUGACGACAAUAUCAUAGUUUGUAACAUUUUCUUCUUCUUUUUUCAUAACAAAUAAAUCAUUACUCCCUUGUUAAUCUGUUCAAAAAAUAAUAAUAUAUUUUUACAAGUACAAAUAAUUUAACUUUAAACUUUUUAUUUUAUUUAUUUUAUUUUUAAUAAAAAGUUUUUAUACUCAUUGUUUAACCAAAAAUAGGAAUUUCAGUCAAAGCUUAAUUUUAGAAGAACUCAGGUUACCGAUAAUCAAAUAUAAAUGAAAAUAAUUGAUAUAAAUAAUAACUGAAUUUAAAGCAAAGUAAAUCUGUUUAUUUUAAUAAUAUUUCGUAUCCUUGCAAAUGUUUAGUCCUCGUCUUUUAUAACUAUCUCUAAGUAAUACGUUUUGUUUCUCUCAUAAUGGAGUCAUUAUAGAAAAUUAAUGGUAUUUAAAGAAACGUUAUUAUUGGUAAUCAUAACUGAUUCAAUACAGAUUACCAAUAACGUUAUUAUUGGUAAUCAAAAUCGAUAAUACGUAUAUAUACCCCUUUUAUAUAACGACCUGACAGGUCGUUUUGAACUUUUACACUUUGAUCGUCAGUUCUCGGACAUAUUUUGACCCAUGUAAUAUAUUAUGACAGAUGUGUAUCGUUGGUUUUGAUUUUUAGCAAAAUCAGAAUGAAUUCGAAGGAUCAGUCUCUGUUGAAAGUUUGAAAUUUGAAAGGACUCACCAGGAGUUGACGUAUUUUUAAAUGAGCUCGGAUCGGGAUUUUUAUGAUUUGGUUAGCUCCGUUAGGUGAUUUGUGACUUAGGAGUGUGAUCGAAAUUGGUUUUGGAGGUCCGGGUGGGGAAUUAGGCUAGAAUUGACGAAGUUAGUAUUUUGGCGACUUCUGAUUGAUAGGUGAAAUUUUGAUCUGAGAGUCGAAAUGAAAUUCCGAGAAUUGUUGUAGCUUCCUUAUGUGAUUUGGGAUGUGUGUGCAAAAUUUCAGAUAAUUCGGACGUGGUUUGGUUGGAUUUUUGAUCGAAUGCGUGUUUCAGAAGUUUUAAAAGAACUUAGGCUUCAAUUCAGUGGGAAUUGAUGACUUUUUUGAUGUAGGAUAUGUUUUUAUGAUUGGAACAAGUUUGAAUAAUAUAUAGAAUGUGUUGGUAUUUUUGAUUGAGAACCCAGGGGCCUUGGGGUGAGUUUGGGUGGCUAAACGGGAAGUUUUGGAUUUGUGUUGUGCAUUUCAUUGCGCUUCUCAUAUUUUUUCGCUUCUGCGGAUUUGGGACCGCGGAAGCGAUCUCGCAAGCGGAAGAGGAGGUUGCGGAUGCGACAUUUGGCCUUGGAGAAUUUUUCCGCAGAAGUAGGAUAGUGACUACAGAAGCGGAUUCCGGGCUUAAGUGGAAUUUUUUACUAAAGUAGAAAAUGGGCCGCAAAAGCGGAAGUCGCAGAUGCGAAGAUUUGACUGUGGAUGCGGUUUCUCCUGGUUAGAAAUAUUAAUGUUCACCUUCGCAAAUUUUUGAAGGGUUUCUCAUUUUAACUUCGGACUUGGAGUAUUUUGGACUAAUCGAAGAGAACUUUCAAGGGAAAUCGAUAAGGCAAGUACUUUUGGACUCUAAACACAAUUCUAUGGUGAUAUAUCAUGAAUUAUGAGUGAAACUUAAGGAAUUAAUGGGCAAAAAUGGUGGUUCAGGGCUUGAAAUUAAGAGAGUAAUAAUUGAGAAUUUUUAAGGGCCAAUUGAACUCUGAUUCUUGUGAUUUUGAUAUGUAUAGGCUCGUGGCAAGAUAAGGAAUCCAUUGAUGUAAACAUUUCUGAGUUUGAGAAGUGGGCCGAGGCUCAGGUUUUGCAAAUUUCUGGAAUUUUUACAUUUUUGCGAUUUGUUUUCAAUUGGGUAUUGUUCCCUUAGCAUAUUAUGACGUAUUCGUUGUGGUUUUGAUCAGAUUCGAGGCGCGUGGAGUCCAUUUAGGGGCAAAGGCGUCGUGAGCUAGAGAUUACGCCAGUUUGAGGUGAGUAAUGGUUAUAAAUGAUAUCAUGGGGGUUUGAAACCCCGGAUUACACAUCGUAGUGCUAUAUUGAGGUGAGACACGCGCUGGAUGAUGAACGCGGGGUCUAUUACUACUGAGGGUUGUGAUUUGGUCUGUCCAGAUUGAUGAUUUUACCGCAUAUUUGACUAAAACAUAUUUGUUAUCAUCAUGAUUUGGGAUGAUUGCCAUAUUUGGGCUUCGUGCCAAUUAUUUGAACCCCCUUCAGGGAUGAUUGUUGAUAGUUCCUCACUGUUUUGACGUUUUACUUGGACUUAGUCAUAUAUUUUCUAGUAUUUUCAAAACUCAGCCAAGGUUAUUUUACUUUAAAACUUAAAAUGAUAUUUCCACUACUAUUUUGGGCUGAGCAGCAUGUUUUACUAUUUCCUGAGGGGCCUAUGUGAUUUUUGAUUGAGUAAGGUCGAGGGCGUGUAUUGUGAGGAUACAUCUGAAUCGGGUUGCAGGCCGCAGUAGUGUUAUACUGAUACUGAUACGAGGCCGAGGGCCUAGACUUGAUGCCACGAGAUGGCUUGAUAUUUGCGCUUGGGCCGUAAGGGGCCCCUUCCGGAGUCUGCACACCCCUAAUGAGUGACGUCAACGAUAAAUAGAUCGGGUUGCACGCCGCAACAGUACUAGUACUGUUCUAUGUGUUUACCUUAUUUCAUUCGUCAGCCAUUAUCUAUUUUUUGUGCUACUUCUUGUAUUAUUUUUUCUGAUAUUCUGGCAUUAUUUAAUAACUGAGUGUUGUGCCCAAGAGGCAGAAUCCUAUGUUUAUCCGCACUAUUUAUUUUGCAUUUAUUUGCAUAACUACUAAAAAAGUCACUUUUAAAAGAGGUUUUAAAUGAGCUAAAAAUGUUUCUCUAAAGAUUUCACGGCUUCACUGUUUUUCGUUGUUUUUCGAAAAAGGGUUUUCACUGCCUCUAUGCAGUAUGAUGAUCUGUUAUACGUGAUAUCUUGCUGCUCAGCUAUUAUUUACCUUUAUUACUCACUGAGUUAGAGUACUCACUUUACUCCCUGCACCUUGUGUGCAAAUGUAGGAAUUUGUUCACCCGGUAGCGAAUUUCGAGCUGAUUGGAGAUUUAGUUAUCAGAGUUGAGCAAGGUGAUCGCUAGCGUUCGCGGCACCACAUUUAUCCCUUUGAUUUCAAAUCCUAUUAUGUAUAUUACAGGCCUUGUAGUUAUAGUUAGACUCUUAUAGAUGCUCGUGACUUGUGACACCAUGGUUUGGACUGUAUUUUGGGUUGUUUUGCGCACUUAAAUGAGAACUCUUCUGUUUAAAUUGUGGUUAUUUAAUCUUAUUAAAUUUGAGUAUUACUUUUAAUUAUUCUGAAAAGCCAAAAGGGUUGGUUGGCUGGCCUUGUCUUCAUGAGAUGUGCCAUCGAUCGGAGCGAGGUUUGGGUCGUGACAAAUUGGUAUCAGAGCCUAGGUUACAUAGGUCUCACGAGUCAUGAGCAGGUUUAGUAGAGUCUAACGGAUCGGUACAGAGACGUUUGUAUUUAUCCUCGAGAGGCUGCAGAACCUUUAGGAAAACUUCACAUUCUUGAAUUCAUGUCGUGCGUCCUUGAUUCAGCUUGAAAAGUAACUCUUGAAAUUCCUCCACGCAUUCGCAUGCGCGCAUGAGCGCUCAGUAUCAAAUGUGCCUUGAUGUCUUGUGAUUCCCUGAUUGAGGGGUGAGACGUGAUCUCUGCGAGUUGAUGUUGGGCCAGUCUGAAGAACUUGACACCGGAUCUUUGUAUAUGGCUUGAGCACCGAGGUGCUAAUUGUGUGAGCAAGUGUUUUGAACAUUUAUGUUCAGUAUGGUCCCUAAUAGUAGGAAUGACGGCUGGAUAGCUAUGUGAUGAGUAUGUUAGUAUUGUGUAAUGUUUAUAUAUGACUUGGAACUGUCGAGGAAGAUCUGUGGGAUGAUAGGUGAACUAUUAAGUGUAUGAUUUCCAUUGUGAUUGGAUGUGUAGCUCCCAGUUAUGGGCGUGUAAAGAAUCUUUUCAAGUAUCCUAGUUAGGAGUGAGGUAGAUUGCAUGUUGCAGUAUGGGUUCAGACUCAGGAAGACUAAGUGACUGAGUAAUGUGUAUGUCGGUGGAAGGUAUACAAAAAUGUUAUAUUGAGGCGAAACAAAUGGGUUAUCUCAUGCGGAGUGUUUUGAAGUGGCGUGAUCCUUAUGUGUAUGUUGAAGAUCUCAUGUGUGAUUGAAAAGUACGUGCUAAAUUUAAAAUUUCGGGUCUCUUAAGAGAGUGGGCUUAACUAUUGCGGGGAUGAAUACAAAAUUUGCAGAAGAUUUACAAUACUAGAUGAUCUGUAUUUUUACAAACUUGUAAAUGAUUUGAGCUUAAUCUCACUAUGGUAUUAUGGCAUCAAUAGAGUAAAGUGUUAUGAGUUAAUGAGUGUAUCUUGAUCUAUGGCUUCAAGCCAAGUGGGGGAGUCUGCUGUGAGCAGUUGAAUUGCACAGUUAGGUGCUAUGUUGGUUCAGGUUUGGGGCGUGCGAGUGAAUUAGCUAUGUCUAGAGUAAAGGAAAAUUUUGACAAUGGUUAUAUUUAUGCUUCAUAGGGUAUGAGAAUCACGGAAUAUCUAGAGUUGUUGUUGGCAAAGAACGCUCGGUGCCUAGAGCAGAAAGGUUCUUGGUUUUAUUGGGAUAAGGAUUUCAUUCUGUGGUGUCGGAGUGACAAUAAGGCACGAGUAGUUUUGUUCGUUGGUUCAAGUAAAUUGCAGCUUGAAUAAGAGUAAAUGACUUUCGAUAAUGUUUCUAAUGUUCUCAAGAGUAUGUAUACAUCAAUUGAGUGUUCUAAAGUUGCAUAUAUGGUUAGAAACUAUUGUUUUCAUGGGAAGAGGUCAAGACUUGUGGUAUUUCUAUGGUAAUUUUUGGAUUCUAUGUAUCAGUAUCAGGAAAGUAAAGGUAACAGAUUUGGAUUUGCAGGAAGUUCUUUAGAGUAAGUAUUCUGGAAUGUGGUUCUUUUAGGAAUAUUUGAGAGAGUAUUCAGUGGCUUAUCGGUCUUAGUCAGUGUGGUUUUGUGCUGGGGUCUCGUGUGGUAAGCCUGGGUUGAGGAAUUGUGGUACUACAACAAGGGGAAAAUAUCAAGUUGAACUCGAAUAAAAAAAAAUUUAGAUAAAGGGAGUAGCUCAAUAGCAGAUCGGAUAAGCAUGGCAAGGAUAUGAUUAAUUCUUUGUAUGUGUUCGAGGUAAUGAGUUCGUACAAGUAUUUUUGCAGCAAUGCUUUGGGGUUCUGACGGCUUGCUUAGCUUGGUCUAGUUUAGAAGGAUUCAGUCCUGGUAGUUUAGUUUGUGCAAAUGGAAUUAGGAGAGUUCUUGUUGAUUUCUACCGUGGUUGGAGAGGUGCAUUUUCUACGAGUGUGAGAAGCAUAAGAUGCGUCAUGAUUUCUUCUAGAUGAGAUCAAUGGAAUUUCUUGACUAGAUGGGUUAAAAUUCAUUUCUGAAAGCGAGUUCAUAAAACUCCUAAGAACGGUUAACCUCAGAUGAUUAAUAGAAUGAUAUUUCUAAUUGGAAGUGCUUGGCGAUAGUAUAUGUUCAGAAAAAGGGUAAGGUGAAUGAGUUGAUGGCACUUUGGUGGUAUUGUGGCACUUUCUUGUUAGAUCGACUGGUGAUAUUCAGGUUUUCUUGGUGGCACAGGGAAAUUUUAGAGCAUCUAUAGUGUAUGUUUUUGGUAUUAAAGGUGUGGUAUGCUUUACGAUGAAAUUGGGAUCAGGUAUGAUGAUUCGUGUGCUAUAUGGAGUUGGAGGCUGGGAGUUCUCAUGUUCAGGCUAUAUUAUGGUUGUGGACCGUGUGUAUCGGCACUGUUUAGCAGCUAUCCAGAUUUGGAGGCACGGGUGGAUCUUUGUUUGCUCGUUAUGCUAGAUCCUGGAUGUGAUGUUGGGGAUUAGACUAGUCGUCUCACUAUUGGGCCGUUCUAGACUAUUGCGAAAUGGGCUAUGCCGGAAAUGCUACGGCUUGAGUGGCGAGGUGCGUCGGAUUAUGUUUUAGUAGAGCGGCUUAGUUUUCGAAGAACCAGCGGUCGGCUGGGAAGGAUUUCUUUUAUUAUUUGGGUUCUUGUGAUGGGUGUCAGUGUUGAGGCUCCUCAUAUUGGUUAAGUUUUGGUGGUGAGGGACUUUUCGGACGUGUUUCUUGUGGCCGGGCAUAUCACCGGGCAGAGUUAUUGAUCUCGGUAUUGAUUUCGUGCUGGUCACCGUAUGGUAUGACACCAGCAGGAUUUAUAGUAGUAGAAGGAACAACUUCAGGUUUCCUUGGUAAGGAAUGUGGAUGUGUAUUCUAGCUUGAGUCGGCUUGGUUGGCCCAAAAUGUAUUGUUGAGGGAUAUGUUGAUUCGACCAUUAUUAAGAGUAUUAGUGAUCUAGGAGGUCUAUGAAUUGCCUUCUGUGUUGCAAGAUGCUAUGAUUUGUUGGUUAUGCGCACACUUGGUACGGUUCUAUUGGAGGUUCAUAAUGGAAGUUGAGCGGGAAGAGUUAUUGGGGUGUUGCUUGGUGAACAGCGUAUUGGUUAUGACCUUUCAGGGUUGUGUGGUAUAUGUUAUUUUCUUCACUGUGGGUAUGAUUAUUUGCUUUGGUUCCAGACAUUUAAUUGCACAUGGUUGUUGAUUUCGAGCAUAGUGGCUUGAGAUGUUUCAUUUGGAGCAGUGUUUGGAUAUGUGGGGGUAUGACCUUGCGGAUUAGAUUCAUGUGUUCUAUUCUAUGAUGUGAUACGGGUUCUCAGCCUUGCGUUGUGGUGGUACUGGUGAACUUGUGGUGCAGCUCUUUCAUUUGAGCCAUUUUCAUGAUUUGAAUAUGUUUGGACCGUUGCUAUUGGUGUGCGUAUUAUGCUAGUCGUGGCUUAAGCCUCUAUUGAUGUGUCACGUCAUCAGGGUGGUGUAUUAGAUUAAAAGCGAUCAUUGGGAUCAUUAAUGAAUAUGAACAUAUUCGUUUUCAGCAUGUUGGAAGGUUAAUAGCGAGGUUCGACUCGAAAAUUUGCUAUGGAAGUGGCUGCAUGAAUGGUUGAUCUGAGGAAAGGUUAGGAUUUAUUGUGUGUUUCAUUUAUCGUUGGCAAUAUAUGAAAGUGUUGGAAUAAGACCUUAGCUGAUAAGAAGUUUCUAUUGGUCUUUGCUUGUUGUAAGAAGUUGCUGUGAAUAGAAGUUACUCCUACGAGCAUGAGUUAUAUGGUUUAUCAUGUAAUGGCAUCAAGGAUUGCAAGUGUGGGUUAUUAUAACUGGUUCGGGCUUAUUCAGAGAAUGGAUUUGAGAUUUUGAUCUUGUGGAUGAUUCCGGUGGUGAAAAUGUAAUUCUAUGGUUUAUAGACUAGGAUGGAUUGUGUAAUUUCAGUUUCUAUAUGUUGUUGGACCUAUGUGAGAUAGGGUGACGUGGUAUCACCCCCGAGUAUAUUCUUGGUAAGAUUAUUCAACUAUUGUUGACUUAUGGGCAACUCUGUGAAACGUUCAAGGACGACCGUGUGUUUAAGUGGGGGAGGAUGUAACGACCCGACCGAUUGUUUUGAACUUUUGCACUUUGAUCGUCUUUUCUCGAGCAUUUCUUUCCCCGUGUAAUGUAUUAUGACUGAUGUAGAUCGUUGGUUUUGAUUUUCAAGAAAAUCGGAAUGAAUUCGAAGGAUCAGUCUCAGUUGAAAGCUUGAAAUUUGAAAGGUUUGACCAAGAGUUGACUUAUUUGUAUAUGAGCUCGGAUUGGGAUUUUUAUGAUUUGGUUAGCUCCGUUAGUUGACUUGUGAGUUAGGAGUGUGAUCGGAAAUUGUUUUGGAGGUUUGGUGGGGAAUUAGGCUUGAAUUGGCGAAGUUAGUAUUAUAGCGACGUCUGGUUGAUAGGUAAGAUUUUGAUCCAAGAGUCAGAAUGGAAUUUCGAAAGAUGAUGUAGCUUCAUGAUGUGAUUAGGUAUGCGUGUGCAAAAUUCCAGGUCAUUCGGACGUGGUUUGGUUUGGUAUUUGAUCGAAUGUGUGUUUCGGAAGUUUUAAAAGAGCUUAGGCUUGAAUUCGGUGGGAAUUGAUGAAUUUUGUUUUGUUGGAGGUAUUUUUAUGAUUGGAACAAGUUUGAAUAACGUUAUAGGAUGUAUUGGUAUUUUUGGUUGAGGUUCUAGGGGCCUCGGGGUGAGUUCGGUUAGCUAAACAGGAAGUUUUGUAUUUGUGUUGUGCAUGUCAUUGAUGCUUCUGGUAUUUUUUUUCGCUUCUGCGGAUUUGAGACCAUAGAAGCGGUCUCACGGAUGUGGAAGAGAAGGUCGCAAAUGCAACAUUUGACCUUAGAGAAUUUUUUUGCAGAAGCGGGAUAGUGACCGCAGAAGCGAAUUUCGGGCUUAAGUGGAAUUUCCGCAAAAGCAGAAAAUGGGCCGCAAAAGCAGAAGUCAUAGAAGAGAAGAUUUGAAUGCGGAUGCGGUUUCCCCUGGUAAGAAAUAUUAAUGUUCACCUUCGCGAUUUUUUGAAGGGUUUCUCAUUUUAACUUCGGACUUGGAGUAUUUUGGACGAUUUGAAGAGAUAUUUCAAGGGGAAAUUGAUAAGGUAAGUAUUUUUUGGACUCUAAACACAAUUUCUAUGGUGAUAUAUCAUGAAUUAGGAGUGAAACUUAAGGAAUUAAUGGGCAAAAAUGGAGGUUUAGGGCUUGAACUUAAGAGAGUAAUAAUUGAGGAUUUGAAAGACCAAUUGAACUUGGAUUCUUGUGAUUUUGAUAUGUAUAGACUCGUGGCGCAGUAAGCAAUCCAUUGAUGUAAAAAAUUUUGAGUUCGAGAUAUGGGCCUAGAGCUCUGGUUUUGCAAAUUUCAAGAUUUUUUACAUUUUUUGAUUGGUUUUCGAUUGAGUGUUGUUCCCUUAGCAUAUUAUGAUGUACUCGUUGUGGUUCUGGUCAGAUUCGACGCAUGUGGAGGCCGAUUUGAGGGGCAAAGAUGUCGCGAGCUAGAGAUUACGCCGGUUUGAGGUGAGUAGUGAUUGUAAAUGAUAUCCAGAGGGUUUGAAACCCCAGAUUGCAAAUCUUAGUGCUAUAUUGAGGUGAGACACAUGCUGGAUGAUGAGCAUGGGCUCUGUUACUACUGGAGAUUGUGACUUGGUCCGUCCCGAUUGAUGAUUUUACCGCAUAUUUGAGUGAAACUUAUUUGUUAUCAUCAUGAUUUGGGCUUCGUGCCAAUUAAUCUAAUUCCAUCCAGUUGCAGUCCUUCGAUUCGAGUCUAGGAUUGCUUCCUGGUCUGGUAAGAAAGAUUCCUGUGGAGACAGGUAUUGAUGUUGAUGUUUGAAAGCCAGCAAGAUCACUAGGUGAAGUCUCUGAUCUGAUUAAUAGGGCUACCUAUUCUUUCAAUCCUACAGGGAUAGCUAUAGCAGCUUUCGAGGGCAAAAGCCACUUAGGCUAUCCUAUUCUAUUUCUUUUCUGUCUUGUUGGUAGUGCUAAUAAGGAGUGCCCGGACAUAUAAAGAUAGUGUUUAAGUUCCCCUCCAGGAAGAAAGGGCUAGGGCAGACAGAAGUUAAGAGCGAGGGGAAAGGAUAAAGGGUGCGUAGUUCUUACCCGCUUUAUAUAGUAAGUAUAGUAGGGUUAACUAUAGAUCUUUUCCUGGGAGUUCUGUUUACACCUCUUCUAUUUCAAAUAGAAUUU
rnacentral:lncRNA from 1 species